rnacentral:rRNA from 1 species
GGGUCUAUCCAUUGGUCGGGCUUAAAGGUCCGUACUGGUUCGAUGGGUUCCUACCUUCUGAAUAACCGGCAUGCCAUUCAGUUGGUGCGCCGGGGAAGCAGAGCUAUUACCUUGAAAAAAUUAGAGUGCUUAAAGCAGGCUAUUGCUUGAAUAGAUUAGCAUGGAAUAAUAAAAUAGGACGGCAUGGUUCUAUUUUGUUGGUUUCUAGGAUCACCGUA